GAUGAACGCUAGCGGCAGGCUUAAUACAUGCGAGUCGAGGGGCAGCAUGAUUGUAGCAGUACAAUUGAUGGCGACCGGCAAACGGGUGCGGAACACGUACACAACCUUCCAACAAGUGGGGGAUAGCCCAGAGAAAUUUGGAUUAAUACCCCGUAACAUAGCGAUGUGGCAUCACAUUGCUAUUAUAGAUUUUUCGCUUGUUGAUGGGUGUGCGGCUGAUUAGAUAGUUGGCGGGGUAACGGCCCACCAAGUCUACGAUCAGUAGCUGAUGUGAGAGCAUGAUCAGCCACACGGGCACUGAGACACGGGCCCGACUCCUACGGGAGGCAGCAGUAAGGAAUAUUGGACAAUGGACGCAAGUCUGAUCCAGCCAUGCCGCGUGAAGGAUUAAGGUCCUCUGGAUUGUAAACUUCUUUUAUAAGGGACGAAAAAAGGCUUUUCUAAGUCGUCUGACGGUACCUUAUGAAUAAGCACCGGCUAACUCCGUGCCAGCCGCCGCAGUAAAAC
rnacentral:rRNA from 1 species